UCACAGUUUUAUUUGUUUAUUUUGGCUACAUUGCGCCAAUUGCGCUUCCAUAGAAUAAAGAAACGCGCUUCCACGCGCUUGCCGACUCGAUCGCAAGGGGACAGCCUGAUCAACAUCAACAUCAGCAGCAAUGGCGGAUUUGCGCUUGCCAUGGCGCUUGCAAAGUUUUCAAUAGUUUUCGACUAUUAAGUGAUGCUUUUGCUAUUUUAACGUGUGGAGGUUCAUUGUACGUCUGUUUUUUCAAGUUUGGCAUGUGUUUUAACACAUGUGAAGGUGUAGUCUUUUCUUCUUCACCGGAUAUUUGUACAAGACCCCGUUCACCGUCUAUCAGGUAAGAUGUGUACGUAUGCUACACGCAAUCGUAGUGCUUCACUAAGCCACAGUGCACUACAAAGUUAAGCAUGAGCGGUACACAAAAUUCACAAGUUCUUAGUAUUGCCAAGAACAACCAUUGCUUGGUGAAGUUCUCACAGGCGUUGUAGAAGUUGUUGGGCGCGGCAGUGCUGAACGUAGCGUUAGCGGCUUAAGUCGUGUUUUUUACUAGUAACAACGUGUCACUAUUUCAUAUUAUUGGCGGCGUCUCCAGGACACCAAAUCGGUAACGGGGACACCAGAGCUAGAACGCGGACUGGUCCAUGGGUUGGGGCUCGCCGAGUCCUGCGCGUGCUAGUAGUAUAUCUUGAUGUCUGUAGGCUGUGUGUAAGUCGUACUUUCCGAAUUUUCUGACGCAUUUUAAGAUCAGCAGCUGUCCGCUUUCGCGGACAAGGCUGGAGUCAGGGUGGUCCGUGAGUUGGGGCAACAUAACCUGCUUCCAGUUUUGAUCCCUCCGCUGCCCCUUGGGUACCCUGCCGCCUCCUUGAUUAUAAUCCAAUGCUCUCCUGAGGCCUCUGUUUGCCGGUUACAUGUGCCCUCCUGGAGCCUUACUUGUAAAUGAAUCCGAUCUAUCGUCGCAACGAAAAAAGCGCCCCGCGACUUCUACAACACCAGUCAGAACCUUGCCCAUUGGUUUACAUAUGUGUGGCCGCAAAUAUCUGAAACUUAAUGCCAGUUCAACAGGUUUGUUGGCAAGGGUGUCAGGUCGUUGCUUUGUGUUGAAUCGGCCUUUUCUCAAUUCUUAAGAAUUUAAUUGGAAUGCACCUGACCAGUGCUGCUUUGUGGUGCUUGUCACCAGUCCCUUGGACAGGGAAGACGUAUGAGAAUCCCUGUGCAUACACUUUAUACGCAGUGGUGUGACCGCUUCCUUUGGGAAACUACCACGUUAGCGAUAUUGUGAGCGCAAUGUGACUUUCCGUCAUCUUCCUCAUCCUUACGUAGUGUGUGUCGCUUCUUCCUCGCCAUAGCUCUAGCUCGGCAAGAAUAAAGCGGUUCCUUAGAAGUGGUGGAGGUGCUGGGGUUCUGCAUACCAAGGACGUAUAAGGUAACAGUGUUUGUGCCUUUAAUAUGUCUCAUUCGAUCAUUUUGAGACGUGGUGGUGUUCAUGCGUUAGCACAGUGCAAGGACAUCCACAAUGUAAGAGGUACAUGAUUCUCGAAUUGUAUACUCUCUCUGGGCUUUUCUCACGAUUUCAGCACAAGUAGUGGGAGCAUCAAAAAACUGACAAAGCUGGUGCAUGAAUGUUGCCCAGUGUUGGUGUUCCUUGGUGUUGAAAUUAUCCUUCCUUUCUCUAAAUCCAAGGGCGAGAUCUUGCAUUCUGAAUGUUUGCUUGCGCUCUCAUUAUUCGCCUUCACCAUGCUUUCGUCAGCGGUCGUCUGCUUGGUGAAGUGGGAGCGCCUAUUGAACACUGCCUACUCACUGAUGUAGAAGGUGAAGCAAACAGUCAGAAAGCUAGAAGCUUGCCCAAUCUCAUCCCAGGUUUUUAAUCCAGUUUGACAUUGAAGCAUCCUGGUAGUAUUAAAGUACUUUAGAAAGAGGUUCCAGAAGCAUUGCCAAGUUUGCCACUUGGUGAAAUUUGUAGUUUGGAAACAAUUUAGGCUCUUAGCAAGAUUAGUAGUGAACAGAGGUUUUCACAUGGCGAUUGGUGUUGUCCAAAUGCAUGAAGAGGUCACAGUACGAGUACUUAAGCUGAUAGUGUCGGGUAACCAUAAGCACCAGCAGGGGCCCCGUAACAGUGUCCCCUUUAACUUCAGAUAUGCUUCACUGCAUGAUGCUAAAUAUGCUUCGCCGCAUAACACGACUCUGCUGCAGUGAAGGUGACUUAAACCGACAACAGCCGAGAAGGUGCAAUCAGCACUGCGCUGCCUGGUUCUUGCUGUUGGCCUUUUCUUCUUUUCACAGUGUCCUUACUGUCACAAAGCUGCACCCAGGUAGAGGCAGAAUCCAAAAAUGCUUGUGUACUUAAGUAUAGCUGCACAUUACAGAAUCCGAGGCCCUCAAGAUUUAUUCGUAGCCCUCGAGUUCCAUAUUUUUUAUUGGGAUUGAAGAGUAACGUUUGUGCUGUAUCCUUCUAUUUCAGACUAAAUAAUGUGCAUGCAAAAUUAUAUCUUCAUUACUUUACACCAUUGCACCAAUAUCUGUUGUGCGUUGAUUUUCUGAUGUCCUUGCAUUUGCUAUAGCAAGGAUUUUUAAAAAUCAGCCACAAAAGAAAAAAAAAUAAAUGGUCAAGGAACGAAGUGGUGUGUAGCAGCUCCCUUUUUUUUAAUCGGCAGCAAGUUUUGCACUCGUGUGUUAGCAACACUGUUUCGCCAGUUGUGUACUUCAAAAGAAGUGUUACCUUUCUGCUUUGGAACUUUGUGGUUUUGUUCUGCCAGCUGCUUGACCAACACAAGCAAAAUGUACUUUGGAUAUUCCACAAAUUCAUUCUGUAUGCAUUUGGUACAAUAAAAUUUGUUUCAAGAAUGGACAAA